rnacentral:rRNA from 1 species
UACGAAGGUGGCAAGCGUUGUUCGGAUUUACUGGGCGUACAGGGAGCGUAGGCGGUUGGAUAAGCCCUCCGUGAAAUCUCCAGGCUUAACCUGGAAAGUGCAGAGGGGACUGUUCAGCUAGAGGAUGGGAGAGGAGCGCGGAAUUCCCGGUGUAGCGGUGAAAUGCGUAGAGAUCAGGAGGAACACCGGUGGCGAAGGCGGCUUUCUGGACGACAACUGACGCUGAGACGCGAAAGCGUGGGGAGCAAACAGG